AAAGCAUGAGUUGCAGCCAAGGAUGACUUGCCGACUUCUGAAUUAAAAUUAAAUAGUAUUGUUCUUCGUACGAUCGAACUUGGAUGAGCAAAGUUGGCAAGUGGUCCUUGGCUAUAUCUUUCUUUCU
rnacentral:pre_miRNA from 1 species